rnacentral:tRNA from 1 species
GCCUUGGUAGUUCAGCUGGGAGAGCAUGAGACUUUUAAUCUCAGGGUUGUGGGUUCAAGUCCCAUGUUCGGCA